UUACUUUUUUUUUGUAGGUUUCAUAUUAUUCCCAAAUGAAGUUUGAUCUUCCAGAUCAUAUGCUUUCAUUCCAAACUUUAUAUUGAACUCAGCUUAACUCAGUUAUUGAUUUUGUGUCUUUAGGAUUUCCCUAUUAAACAUGCAAAGGCUGUCUUCCCAAGAAGAAAGAUGCUUCUGUGUGGACUGUGUAAUGAAAAAUGACUUGUAUUCACUCUGUACAUGAGAACAGGGAGAAAAAAUGAAUUGGGACCUUUUAAAAUAUAACAGGAGACAUUCUAUAGAUUGCUAAUAUUUUCAUAGUUCAGUACACCACAAGGAGACAUCAAGUGAACUUUCUUCGAUAAAGAUUCUAAAUGAACUUCUAGAAAAGUUUCAUUUAGAACUAAUUGUUUGUUAUGUGAAUUCACCUGCUUUCAUUUUGUAACUGCUAACUUACUUCUACUGUAGCAUUAUACUUUUGUAAUAAUGUAUGCUAUUGUCUGUCUUUGUAGCGUAUAAUAGGUUUUUAAAAAUAAAUUUUUUUUAAUGAGA